UACGGAGGGUGCAAGCGUUGUCCGGAAUCACUGGGCGUAAAGGGCGCGUAGGCGGCUCAUGAAGGCUGUGGUGAAAGUCCGGGGCUCAACCUCGGAUCGGCCGUGGCGACUCGUGGGCUGGAGUACUGCAGGGGAGACUGGAAUUCCUGGUGUAGCGGUGGAAUGCGCAGAUAUCAGGAGGAACACCGGUGGCGAAGGCGGGUCUCUGGGCAGUAACUGACGCUGAGGAGCGAAGGCGUGGGGAGCGAACAGG
rnacentral:rRNA from 1 species